rnacentral:rRNA from 1 species
AGUGAACGCUGGCGGUAGGCCUAACACAUGCAAGUCGAACGGCAGCACAGUAAGAGCUUGCUCUUACGGGUGGCGAGUGGCGGACGGGUGAGGAAUACAUCGGAAUCUACUUUUUCGUGGGGGAUAACGUAGGGAAACUUACGCUAAUACCGCAUACGACCUACGGGUGAAAGCAGGGGAUCUUCGGACCUUGCGCGAUUGAAUGAGCCGAUGUCGGAUUAGCUAGUUGGCGGGGUAAAGGCCCACCAAGGCGACGAUCCGUAGCUGGUCUGAGAGGAUGGUCAGCCACACUGGAACGGAGACACGGUCCAGACGCCUACGGGAGGCAGCAGUGGGGAAUAGUGGACAAUGGGCGCAAGCCUGAUCCAGCCAUACCGGGUGGGUGAAGAAGGCCUUCGGGUUGUAAAGCCCUUUUGUUGGGAAAGAAAAGCAGCAGGUUAAUACCCCGCUGUUCUGACGGUACCCAAAGAAUAAGCACCGGCUAACUUCGUG